rnacentral:rRNA from 1 species
UACGUAGGGUGCGAGCGUUGUCCAGAAUUAUUGGGCGUAAAGAGCUCGUAGGCGGCUUGUCACGUCGGAUGUGAAAGCCCGGGGCUUAACUCCGGGUCUGCAUUCGAUACGGGCAGGCUAGAGUUCGGUAGGGGAGAUCGGAAUUCCUGGUGUAGCGGUGAAAUGCGCAGAUAUCAGGAGGAACACCGGUGGCGAAGGCGGUUCUCUGGGCAUUACCUGACGCUGAGGAGCGAAAGUGUGGGGAGCGAACAGG